UGGAUAGAUUAUUGUAUUCGACUGUAUUCACGGCGUGAAACAGGGGAUUACACUAUUUUUAAACGGAAAGUGAAUCAAUUAAUAUAAUAGACUCCU
rnacentral:pre_miRNA from 1 species